UACGAGGGGGGCAAGCGUUGUUCGGAAUUAUUGGGCGUAAAGAGCUCGUAGGCGGUUUGUCGCGUCUGCUGUGAAAUCCCGAGGCUCAACCUCGGGUCUGCAGUGGGUACGGGCAGACUAGAGUGUGGUAGGGGAGAUUGGAAUUCCUGGUGUAGCGGUGGAAUGCGCAGAUAUCAGGAGGAACACCGGUGGCGAAGGCGGGUCCCUGGGCAGUAACUGACGCUGAGGAGCGAAAGCGUGGGGAGCGAACAGG
rnacentral:rRNA from 1 species